CAUAAAACAGUGAAAAGAAGAGUAGUAUCUUGUGAUUGUUUCAAAGAGAGCGAUUGUAUGGUGAAAUUUCGCAGCAUAGCAGAUAUGAAGAUGGUCUUGGAGUUUCUCUUUUGAGACGUAAGUUUAGAAAGGGACGUAUUUCGGCGUUAUCGAAUUGAGGUGCAUUGUGCACAAACUAAGGUGGUACCACGAAAAGCUUUCGUCCUUUGA
rnacentral:ncRNA from 1 species